GACGAACGCUGGCGGCGUGCCUAAUACAUGCAAGUCGAGCGAAUCUCAGGGAGCUUGCUCCCUGAGAUUAGCGGCGGACGGGUGAGUAACACGUGGGUAACCUGCCUGUAAGACUGGGAUAACUUCGGGAAACCGGAGCUAAUACCGGAUACUUUCUUUUCUCGCAUGAGGGAAGAUGGAAAGAUGGUUCUGCUAUCACUUACAGAUGGACCCGCGGCGCAUUAGCUAGUUGGUGAGGUAACGGCUCACCAAGGCGACGAUGCGUAGCCGACCUGGGAGGGGGAUCGGCCACACUGGGACUGAGACACGGCCCAGACUCCUACGGGAGGCAGCAGUAGGGAAUCUUCCGCAAUGGACGAAAGUCUGACGGAGCAACGCCGCGUGAGCGAAGAAGGCCUUCGGGUCGUAAAGCUCUGUUGUUAGGGAAGAACAAGUACGAGAGUAACUGCUCGUACCUUGACGGUACCUAGCCAGAAGCCACGGCUAACUACGUGCCAGCAGCCGCCGCGGUAA
rnacentral:rRNA from 1 species